UGGCAGCAGUCGAGAAUCAUUCACAAUGGGGGAAAACCUGAUUGUGCGACGCCGCGUGGGGGAAUGAAGGUCUUCGGAUUGUAAACCCCUGUCAUGUGGGAGCAAAUUAAAAAGAUAGUACCACAAGAGGAAGAGACGGCUAACUCUGUGCCAGCAGCCGCGGUAAUACAGAGGUCUCAAGCGUUGUUCGGAAUCACUGGGCGUAAAGCGUGCGUAGGCUGUUUCGUAAGUCGUGUGUGAAAGGCGCGGGCUCAACCCGCGGACGGCACAUGAUACUGCGAGACUAGAGUAAUGGAGGGGGAACCGGAAUUCUCGGUGUAGCAGUGAAAUGCGUAGAUAUCGAGAGGAACACUCGUGGCGAAGGCGGGUUCCUGGACAUUAACUGACGCUGAGGCACGAAGGCCAGGGGAGCGAAAGGGAUUAGAUACCCCUGUAGUCCUGGCAGUAAACGGUGCACGCUUGGUGUGCGGGGAAUCGACCCCCUGCGUGCCGGAGCUAACGCGUUAAGCGUGCCGCCUGGGGAGUACGGUCGCAAGAUUAAAACUCAAAGAAAUUGACGGGGACCCGCACAAGCGGUGGAGUAUGUGGCUUAAUUCGAUGCAACGCGAAGAACCUUACCUGGGCUUGACAUGUAAUGAACAACAUGUGAAAGCAUGCGACUCUUCGGAGGCGUUACACAGGUGCUGCAUGGCCGUCGUCAGCUCGUGUCGUGAGAUGUUUGGUUAAGUCCAGCAACGAGCGCAACCCCUGUUGCCAGUUACCAGCACGUGAAGGUGGGGACUCUGGCGAGACUGCCCAGAUCAACUGGGAGGAAGGUGGGGACGACGUCAGGUCAGUAUGGCCCUUAUGCCCAGGGCUGCACACGUACUACAAUGCCCAGUACAGAGGGGGCCGAAGCCGUGAGGCGGAGGAAAUCCUAAAAACUGGGCCCAGUUCGGACUGUAGGCUGCAACCCGCCUACACGAAGCCGGAAUCGCUAGUAAUGGCGCAUCAGCUACGGCGCCGUGAAUACGUUCCCGGGUCUUGUACACACCGCCCGUCACAUCAUGGAAGCCGGUCGCACCCGAAGUAUCUGAAGCCAACCGCA
rnacentral:rRNA from 1 species